rnacentral:lncRNA from 1 species
CGAGCUGGCCGAGCCGAGCGCGAGUGUGUGCGUGUGCGAGCUGGUCGGGGGCGGCUGGUGCGGCGACGGCGGCAACGGCGGUGCGAGUCGCAUUGAACCGCGAUGAUCGUGCUCUGGGAGAUUGGAAAAUCUCCAUGCGUGCUAUGUUUGGCUAGGCAGACGAUGAACAAAUAGAGCCGGGUAUGAACGUAUGGCACAAGAUCUAACCAGCUUUUUCCGGGAUACCAGCAAGCGCUACAGCUGUUGCGCCGUCUUGUUACAGAAGGACUGGGCAUCCGCAGACACAAGUGCAGUCCUUCAACCACUGCUGGUGUCAAGUGCAGGAAAAUAACAAGGGGCUCACAGAUUUUUUACAGAGCAGCCGAGACAGCAUAAUGCUGGAUUGUAACUCUGUUGUUACAGUGUCUUUCACCAAGCACAGCUGUUCCGGGGACGGCCACGUGCUGUCUUUUUGCCUGUUUGCUACGGUCGACACGGUGGAGGCAGGUCGUGACAUUGCACGGACGGCUGGACACCGAAGCGACGCAGGCUGACCAUCAACCUUCUCAAGGGUGACCCAUCUUCAGCCUCCUGAGUACGCUGAAGGCAUCAUACUCACCUAGCCUGAGAAGCCAGUUCCGCCCUCCCUUGGCCACUGUGUCGAAGUUUCUGCGAAGCACCUUCUCGGCAGUGGUGCAGAGAUGCAGAAUGUCUGGGGAUGGACUGUGGAGACCGCCCUUGUCCUUGACACGCACCAGGUCACAUUUGUCAGUGGUGGCGUCGGCGUCGUCCUGGCUUGUGUCAGCUGUCGGGUCUUGCUGGCGCUUGUCCGACG